UACAGAGGGUGCGAGCGUUGUCCGGAAUCACUGGGCGUAAAGGGCGCGUAGGCGGCUUGAUAAGGUUGCGGUGAAAGCCCGGCGCUCAACGCCGGGUCGGCCGUGGAUACUCUCGGGCUCGAGCUCACUAGAGGCAGAUGGAAUUCCGGGUGUAGCGGUGGAAUGCGUAGAGAUCCGGAAGAACACCGGUGGCGAAGGCGGUCUGCUGGGGUGAUGCUGACACUGAUGCGCGGACAGCGUGGGGAGCAAACAGG
rnacentral:rRNA from 1 species